UACGAAGGGUGCAAGCGUUACUCGGAAUUACUGGGCGUAAAGCGCGCGUAGGCGGCUUUGUAAGUUAGAGGUGAAAGCCCGGAGCUCAACUCCGGAACUGCCUUUAAGACUGCAUCGCUUGAAUCCAGGAGAGGUGAGUGGAAUUCCGAGUGUAGAGGUGAAAUUCGUAGAUAUUCGGAAGAACACCAGUGGCGAAGGCGGCUCACUGGACUGGUAUUGACGCUGAGGUGCGAAAGCGUGGGGAGCAAACAGG
rnacentral:rRNA from 1 species